UAGGGAAUCUUCGGCAAUGGGGGGAACCCUGACCGAGCAACGCCGCGUGAGUGAAGAAGGUUUUCGGAUCGUAAGCUCUGUUGUUAAGGAAGAACGAGUGUGAGAAUGGAAAGUUCAUACUGUGACGGUACUUAACCAGAAAGGGACGGCUAACUACGUGCCAGCAGCCGCGGUAAUACGUAGGUCCCGAGCGUUGUCCGGAUUUAUUGGGCGUAAAGCGAGCGCAGGCGGUUAGAUAAGUCUGAAGUUAAAGGCAGUGGCUCAACCAUUGUAGGCUUUGGAAACUGUUUAACUUGAGUGCAGAAGGGGAGAGUGGAAUUCCAUGUGUAGCGGUGAAAUGCGUAGAUAUAUGGAGGAACACCGGUGGCGAAAGCGGCUCUCUGGUCUGUAACUGACGCUGAGGCUCGAAAGCGUGGGGAGCGAACAGG
rnacentral:rRNA from 1 species